rnacentral:rRNA from 1 species
AGGAUGAACGCUGGCGGCGUGCCUAACACAUGCAAGUCGAACGUCCUGUCUCGCAAGAGGCAGGGAGUGGCGGACGGGUGAGUACCACGUGGGUUAUCUACCGUGAGGUGAGGAAUACCGGCGAGAAAUCGCCGACAAGACCGCAUAGCCUCGGUGCAAGCCGAGGAAAGCUUUCUCGAGAGAGGGAGCGCCACACGAGGAGCCUGCGCCCGAUUAGCUAGCUGGUGGAGUAACGGUUCACCAGGGCGACGAUCGGUAGCUGGUCUGAGAGGACGAUCAGCCACACUGGGAUUGAGAACGGCCCAGACUCCUACGGGGGGCAGCAGUGAGGAAUUUUCGUCAAUGGGGGCAACCCUGAACGAGCAACGCCGCGUGCAGGAAGAAGGUUUUCGGAUCGUAAACUGCUUUUCUCGGGGAAGAGAACGGACGGUACCCGAGGAAUCAGCCCCGGCUAACUACGUGCCAGCAGCCGC